rnacentral:rRNA from 1 species
UACGUAGGGUGCGAGCGUUAAUCGGAAUUACUGGGCGUAAAGCGUGCGUAGACGGUUACAUAAGUCGGGUGUGAAAGCCCCGGGCUCAACCUGGGAAUUGCAUUCGAGACUGCGUAGCUAGGGUACGGAAGAGGGAGGCGGAAUUUCAGGUGUAGCGGUGAAAUGCGUAGAUAUCUGAAGGAACACCAGUGGCGAAAGCGGCCUCCUGGUCCAGUACCGACGUUCAGGCACGAAAGCGUGGGGAGCAAACAGG